AGGGGGGAGGGGGGAAGAAGAGGAGGAUGGCAUGGGGUGACGCUCGACAAUGUGACGACCAAAAUUGAAGGAAGAGUUAGAGGCAGGAGUGGUGGAUGUGAUAGUGGCGACAAUAGAGGGAGGAGUAGAAUAGUAGGAGGAAUAAGAAAAACAAGAUAAUUAGAAAAUAAGAACAAAGAAAAAAAAAGAAAAACAGGUUGGAGAAAGAAUACUAAUUAACAUUAUUGAAAGAUUUGACUUAGAAACCAUAAUUUACCUAUAGGUACACAAAUAUUUACCCACAAAUUUAUGAUCGUCAUUAAUUAUCAAACAAAUUUUUAUCCUUCAAUAAAAUUUAUUGAUAAUUAAUUUACUAUUGAAUUUUUAGAUAUUGGUAAACUCAUCAAUAAACUUGAUUUAUUAACAAAAUUUUGUUAUUAUCGUGUUAGUAAGUAAUACGUGAU
rnacentral:lncRNA from 1 species